UGGAGUUCUAGAUCUUAUAUAUUAUUCCAUUUGAGCAGUGGAAUGAUUUAGAGAUGAAGGCCAGGAACCAGGAUACCAAAUCAGCCAUCUGGGAUGGUGCUCAAGAAUCUGCAUUAACAAACUCACCAGGGGGUGGUGACUGACCACUGCCAGCAACCAAGAAGGAGCCUGAUGGUUAAGUUCUGGGCCUGAAGCAAAAACUUCACAAGUGUCGUUUAGCCAUCUGUUCACUUGUUUUGUGUUUACUGAGCACUUCUGAUGUGCAAAGCCCUGUGGCGGAUCUGGGGAUACAGCAGUGAAUGAGUUAGGCAAGCUCCAUGCUCACUAACUGGGAGUAAAAAGAAAACAAAAUAAUUACA